GCGGGAAUAGCUCAGUGGUAGAGCACAACCUUGCCAAGGUUGGGGUCACGAGUUCAAAUCUCGUUUCCCGCU
rnacentral:tRNA from 1 species